GACCUUCAUCACCUGGAUGAGGAUAAACUGUGUCACAUGGUUACCAGGUUUUCCACUGAAAAUGUAUUCUGCUCAUCUCCAGAUCACAUGUUCUUCUCUUUGGAAGGAGAUUCAGGAGAUUCCCACUGUGCCUGGAAUUAAGCCUGGUGUCCCAGAACCUUGCUUACCUGUAACUGUCUUCUAUAAAGGCAUGAUAAACAGGGUAAGUGAAUAUACAUA